rnacentral:rRNA from 1 species
UGGGGAAUAUUGGACAAUGGGCGCAAGCCUGAUCCAGCCAUGCCGCGUGAGUGAAGAAGGCCCUAGGGUUGUAAAGCUCUUUCACCGAUGAAGAUAAUGACUGUAGUCGGAGAAGAAGCCCCGGCUAACUCUGUGCCAGCAGCCGCGGUAAUACAGAGGGUGCAAACGUUGCUCGGAAUUAUUGGGUGUAAAGCGCGUGUAGGCGGUUUGGUAAGUCGGUAGUGAAAGCCCAUGGCUCAACCAUGGAAGUGCUGCCGAAACUGCCAGACUUGAGUCCCGGAGAGGGUGGCGGAAUUCCCAGUGUAGAGGUGAAAUUCGUAGAUAUUGGGAGGAACAUCGGUGGCGAAGGCGGCCACCUGGACGGGUACUGACGCUGAGACGCGAAAGCGUGGGGAGCAAACAGGAUUAGAUACCCUGGUAGUCCACGCAGUAAACGAUGAGCACUAGGUGUUGCGGGUAUUGACCCCUGCAGUGCCGACGCUAACGCAUUAAGUGCUCCGCCUGGGGAUUACGGCCGCAAGGCUA